rnacentral:rRNA from 1 species
UACGUAGGGUGCAAGCGUUGUCCGGAAUUAUUGGGCGUAAAGGGCGCGUAGGCGGCUUGGCAAGUGGAUGGUGAAAUCCCUCGGCUUAACCGAGGAACGGCCGUCCAAACUGCUUCGCUUGAGACCGGGAGAGGUGAGUGGAAUUCCCAGUGUAGCGGUGAAAUGCGUAGAUAUCAGGAGGAACACCGAUGGCGAAGGCAGGUCUCUGGGCUGACACUGACGCUCAUGCACGAAAGCGUGGGGAGCAAACAGG